GCUGGACCCGUCUGCAGCCUCUCUACCCUCCUGGGAGAGGGGGACACACCAGCUUCUGCGUCGCUCCGGUCUUGUACCAGCAAACCCUGACGUGGAAAACGGACGGGGCUGACUUGGAUGCUUGCCACCCCCCUGCCCACACUUCCAGGAGCUCCUCCUCAGAGAGCACCCCCCUUGUGGGCAGGUGCUGAGGCCCCUGGAGAGGAAGGCGAGGCCCCUGCCCCAGGGAACAUGGAGUCUGCAGGAGGAGGCUGGCCUCCAACAGGCGGAGGAGCAGGCGGACAUGCAGAGGGACAGCUGAGAGGUGACGCUAAGAUGAGACCUGAGCAGGCUAAGCACUGAUUUCCCCAGAAAGGACAGGAGUCGGCUGCUCUCCCAUGUGGAAAACAAGAGCUCAGCGAAGCACCCGGCUUUCUCGUCGCUUGGCCUCCAGUGUCGCUACUGAUUCUUGAUGACAGGACACAUUCAAUGCCCUUGAUUGAUUUAGUGGAGAAACCGCAGCAUUGGAGGGCAGAACGCGCUUGUCCUGCGGGCAAACGCAGUGCCUCGCCUGGGCUGCCAGGGUCUGGUGCUUGGAGAAAAGAUUAGAUCCCAACAGCUGAGCUUGGAAGCUGUGAAGACCCAGCCUCCUCCAUUCUCCCUGGGCAACGCGCUACAUACAGUACCCCAGUGCAUCUAGGAUGGGACUCCGGCAUCUUCAUUUUAAAACAGUUUCCCUGGUGAUCCUGACGACCUGCCAGGUGUGGGUGCCACGGCCUCCUUUACUGCCUUCGUUGAGACUCAGACAAGGCUACUCCCAUCGUUGUUCCGGGUUGCUGACACCACCAGUGAAUCAUGUGGCCAGAGGGAAGGCUCCAUGCAAGACCCGCGAACAGUCACAUCGCCUCUGGAGGAAUGCCCAGAUUUUCCCUUAAUUACCUAAGCCGGUCUGAGAAUGUGAAGCCAGUUUUUGGAGGUGUUAACCUGCUGCCUUCUCAGAUCACCAGUGCACUGAUCAUAAAUGCUUAUUCUACAACCCAACUCCUGUGUCGGUCUAUUGGCUGAGCGGUGCAGGCAGCACGAGCCCCGGACUCGGUUGCCCUCUGGUUUCAAGAACAGGGGCUUCUCAGCACCUCGCAGUCCCGAAGCCUCUGCUGGUGACUGGGGCAUGUUUUGCCAACACAGAGCACAGGGAAAAGGAAAGCUUUGAUGUGUUUUGGUGACUUUGCCCUGGGUUGUAAUGGGAGGACUGGGCUCACAGAGAUGUAAGAACCGAAUGAAUGUUUGAAAUGACAAUGAUUUAAUCCAAGAACUUUUACUAAACACUUGCUAUGUGCCAGGUGAGAAAGAUCUGGGAUUGCACUGUUCACUGGGAAGUUGGAAGUAACACAACCUCCCUAGGGAUGUGGAUCGCCACAUUGUGUCAAAGCCCCCGGGAAGCCCCACUGAAAAAUGGUAUCUUCUAGAGCCCAACCUGAGGUUUUAAAUUAAUAAGGCACCCAGGGCGCCUAGAUUUCACUCUACCUAUACAAUGGUCAUUGCUAGCAUUGUAUUGGGCACUCAUGCUAGACUAGGCACCUUCACAGGUUAAUGUUAUCCUUCAAGAUGGGUGUUAUUAUCCCCUUGUUAUAGCUGGGAAACUAAGAUUGAGCUCAGUAAAGGGACUGACCAGGCCACAGAGAUGGAAAGUGAUACAGCUGAGGGACAUAUUCAGGUGCCCAGGUGCACCCGACACCAAAGCCCAGUGAAAGGAGGGAGAGGAACCCCUUGACCCUGCUGGGCUUCCUCUAGAGGUUACUGUCUGACUCACUAGAUCUGACAUUGAUUGAAGGCAGGCUCUGCACGCUGGUUGGGUGUUACGUUCCCUAAAUGAGCAAUGUCUGCUAAACCUAAGCAGAGAAAGAAACUAACGCAGGAGGCGUACCUCCACGCGUAGUAAUCUGUAGCUUUUCGUUGUUUGCACGUGAAGCUAUCUCAA